UUUAAUGAUUUGACUAAAUGUGUAAUUGGGUUAGACCCACCUACGAGAGGUGGGGUAGCCUUAACCGUCUGUGUUAUCUGAGAAGCCAAAAGGCUGUUUCCGACCCUGUCAGGGGAGAUGCCAACCAUCUCUCCUUUAAUAGAACACGCUCACGAUAAUGUUAACUUCACAUCAUAUAACAGAAAUUAGUCGGUAAAUUUUUCGAUGUGGGAUGUACGGCUUUCCGCUCCCAUUUCCCCUCUCCUGUAAUUCUCUAAUCCCGAGCGAAAAUGGCUACAGAUCGAAACGGUGAGCUAUUUACUAAGAGAGAAAGUUCCGUUUCGACGAGCCAACGAAGGAAGAGGAGAAGAAGAGAACGGUGCUCGGUCGAAGAGAAAUUCCAAGAAGGUUCGUGAAAAUUUGAGCUCCGAUGGACGAAAACGCAGGAAAUCCGUUCGGAUUUCGUUGAUAAGCAUGACAAGAAACGUGGGAAGAGUUCAAGAAGAAAGCGCAAAUCCCGUAGACGAAACAGUAGUAGUGAGAAGGAUUCUGAUUCCGAGGAUACCGAAUCUGAUAGCUUGGAGUAUGAUUUGAAGAGGAGGAGGAAGAGAAACGGAGGAAGGAGAAGAAGGAACGAGGAGAGAAAGGAGCAGUGACGAAUUCGUGCGGAAAGUACAACAUUAUCAAAGAAACUGAUACCUGAUUGCAUACUUUAAAUUGAUUUGAAUUAAUUAAAACCAAAUUAGUUUUUCAUGUUAUUUCACCGUCGAGAAAUAAGACUUCCAAUACUCAAUCCAGAUAACCCACUUUUGCUGUUUAUGGGACUCAUUACUUUCGUAGUGUGCCUAUUCGUUUGAUUGAACAUGAAUGUCUACCAAGGUCGGAAGAAUCUGUAACCCAACUGCUUUCGUAGCUGUGGUAUUGUUGCUGAUCAUAUUACUUUGAAUAUUACAUUGCUUUUAGGUGAACAUGGGAAGUCUAGCUAAUUGGGAAGAGAAGCUAAGUUUUUAAGUAGCAAGUAGACGAUCAUGUUUAGUUUGCUCCUCACAUAGUCGUUAUUUGUGAGAUCCCACAUCAGUUGGAAACCUCUCCCUAGCAGACGCAUUACAAAACCGUGAGGCUGACGGAGAUAUAUAAUGGGCCAAAGCGGACAAUAUCUGCUAGUGGUAGGCUUGAGCUGUUACAAAUGGUAUCAGAGUCAGGCACCGUAUGCUGUGUCAAUAAGGAUGCUAGGCUCCCAAGGGAGUGGAUUGUGAGAUCCCACGUUGAUUGGAGAGGGGAAUAAAGCAUUCCUUAUA